GAUGAACGCUAGCUACAGGCUUAACACAUGCAAGUCGAGGGGUAAUGAGAGGAAAGCUUGCUUUCCUUGUCGACGACCGGCGCACGGGUGAGUAACGCGUAUCCACCCUGCCCCCAACUAGGGAAUAACCUUGCGAAAGUAAGACUAAUACCCUAUAAUUUCCUAAGAUGUCAUCUGACGAGGACUAAAGAUUUAUCGGUUGUGGAUGGGGAGGCGUCUGAUUAGCUUGUUGGCGGGGUAACGGCCCACCAAGGCAACGAUCAGUAGGGGUUCUGAAAGGAAGGUCACCCACAUUAGAACUGAGACACGGUCCAAACGCGUACGGGAGGCAGCAGUGAGGAAUAUUGGUCAAUGGGCGUAAGCCUGAACCAGCCAAGUAGCGUUAAGGAUGACGGCCCUAUGGGUUGUAAACUGCUUUUAUACAGGAAUAAAGUUAGCCACGUGUGGUUAUUUGUAGGUACUGUAUGAAUAAGGACCGGCUAAUUCCGUGCCAGCCGCCGCCGUAA
rnacentral:rRNA from 1 species